rnacentral:rRNA from 1 species
AGUGAACGCUGGCGGCGUGCCUAAUACAUGCAAGUCGAACGGAGUGGCGCACGGGUGAGUAAUAUAUAGCUAAUCUGCCCCUUGCUGGAGGACAACAGUCAGAAAUGCCUGCUAAUACUCCAUAGCAAGGGAUGAGACUAUAUCGUAUCAGCUAGUCGGUGAGGUAAGGGCCUACCGAUUCUAUGACGCGUAACUGGUCUGAGAGGAUGAUCAGUCACAUUGGAACGGAGACACGGUCCAAGCUCCUACGGGAGGCAGCAGUAGGGAAUAUUGCGCAAUGGGGGAAACCCUGAGGCAGCAACGCCGCGUGGAGGAUGACACUUUUCGUAGCGUAAACUCCGUUUGUUAGGGAAGCGGUACCUAACGAAGAAGCACCGGCUAACUCCGUGCCAGCAGCCGCGGUAAUUC